rnacentral:rRNA from 1 species
ACGGAAGGCAGCAGUGAGGAAUAUUGGUCAAUGGGCGGAAGCCUGAACCAGCCAAGUCGCGUGAAGGAAGAAGGUAUUAUGUAUUGUAAACUUCUUUAGACGUAGAGAAAUAAGGGGAUCGUGAUCCCUGAUGCUAGUAUACGUAGAAUAAGGAUCGGCUAACUCCGUGCCAGCAGCCGCGGUAAUACGGAGGAUCCGAGCGUUAUCCGGAUUUAUUGGGUUUAAAGGGUGCGCAGGCGGUCUUUUAAGUCAGUGGUUAAAUCGUGGAGCUUAACUCCAUCCCGCCAUUGAUACUGGAGGACUUGAUUGCGGUUGAGGUUGGCGGAAUUCGCCGUGUAGCGGUGAAAUGCAUAGAUAUGACGAAGAACACCGAUUGCGUAGGCAGCUUACCAAGCCGUAAAUGACGCUCAUGCACGAAAGUGCGGGGAUCGAACAGGAUUAGAUACCCUGGUA